UACGUAGGGUGCAAGCGUUGUCCGGAAUUAUUGGGCGUAAAGAGCUCGUAGGCGGUUUGUCGCGUCUGCUGUGAAAACGCGAGGCUCAACCUCGCGCCUGCAGUGGGUACGGGCAGACUAGAGUGCGGUAGGGGAGAUUGGAAUUCCCGGUGUAGCGGUGAAAUGCGCAGAUAUCGGGAGGAACACCGGUGGCGAAGGCGGGUCUCUGGGCCGUAACUGACGCUGAGGAGCGAAAGCAUGGGGAGCGAACAGG
rnacentral:rRNA from 1 species